UACAGAGGUCCCGAGCGUUGUUCGGAUUCACUGGGCGUAAAGGGUGCGUAGGUGGCAUGGAAAGUUUGAUGUGAAAGCUCAGGGCUUAACCCUGAAAUGGCAUUGAAUACUGCCGUGCUGGAGGUUUGGAGGGGGGACUGGAAUUCUUGGUGUAGCAGUGAAAUGCGUAGAUAUCAAGAGGAACACCAGUGGCGAAGGCGAGUCCCUGGACAACACCUGACACUGAGGCACGAAAGCUAGGGGAGCAAACAGG
rnacentral:rRNA from 1 species